GACGUAGGGGGCCAGCGUUGUUCGGAAUUACUGGGUGUAAAGGGUUCGUAGGCGGUGUGGCAAGUCGGGAGUGAAAUCUCUGGGCUCAACCCAGAGACUGCUUCCGAAACUGCUGUGCUUGAGUGUGAGAGAGGCUCGUGGAAUUGCAGGUGUAGCGGUGAAAUGCGUAGAUAUCUGCAGGAACACCCGUGGCGAAAGCGGCGAGCUGGAUCACUACUGACGCUGAGGCGCGAAAGCGUGGGGAGCAAACAGG
rnacentral:rRNA from 1 species